rnacentral:rRNA from 1 species
GAUGAACGCCGGCGGUGUGCCUAAUACAUGCAAGUCGUACGCACUGGCCCAACUGAUUGAUGGUGCUUGCACCUGAUUGACGAUGGAUCACCAGUGAGUGGCGGACGGGUGAGUAACACGUAGGUAACUUGCCCCGGAGCGGGGGGAUAACAUUUGGAAAUCGUUGCUAAUACCGCAUAUGCCAUAAUCACCACAUGGUGAUAGUGGGAAAGGAGGCAAUCCGCUAACAGAUGGGCUUGCGUCUGAUUAGUUAGUUGGUGGGGUAACGGCCUACCAAGACCACGAUCAGUAGCCGGACUGAGAGGUUCAACGGCCACAUUGGGACUGAGAUACGGCCCAG